GACGAACGCUGGCGGCGUGCUUAACACAUGCAAGUCGAACGGUGACGGGGAGCUUGCUCCCCUGAUCAGUGGCGAACGGUGAGUAACACGUGGGCAAUCUGCCCCUGACUUCGGGAUAACGCUUCGAAAGAGGUGCUAAUACCGGAUAUGAACCUCGCAGGCAUCUGCGAGGUUGGAAAGUUUCUCGGUCAGGGAUGAGCCCGCGGCCUAUCAGCUAGUUGGUGAGGUAAUGGCUCACCAAGGCGACGACGGGUAGCCGGCCUGAGAGGGCGACCGGCCACACUGGGACUGAGACACGGCCCAGACUCCUACGGGAGGCAGCAGUGGGGAAUAUUGCGCAAUGGGCGAAAGCCUGACGCAGCAACGCCGCGUGAGGGAUGACGGCCUC
rnacentral:rRNA from 1 species